UGGAGGGAUAAAGAUAAGACACAAGAAAGAAAGUGAGACUGCCAAUAAAGAGGCACAGCAAAGAGAAGUCCCUGACAAUCAGAUUCUAGAAAUUUGGGACAACAGAGAUUACAACUACUACUCUAAAACAACAUACCCUUUCCAUUCAAAGGCAGCCUCUCUCAGGAAAAUUUCAAGUAUGAGGAGAAAGAACAGAUACAAAACAUUUUAAAAUGAAAAGAUUGUAUCCACCCUUCUGGUUCACAGCCCUCACUUGAGCUACUCAAGGACAACGUUUCAUCCACAUUUGCACCUUGAAGCCUCUGGUUGGAGGAAGGCGGUCUUUUUCAUUACUUAAGAAUACACA